AAGAACAUGGAGUUAUUCUCAUGUUGAAGUUUCCAGCGAUAAGAAUGGGCUUAGCCAACAUCGCUCAGCUGCUGAAAUUGCAAAUUUGGUGUAGUUAUUCAUGGUAGAAAUUCCAAAUUAAGUGGUAUAUUUUGCCAGAUUGAGAAACUGCAUACACACCUUUGUCAAUGCGCAAUCGAACAUCCGUCAGGUGCUGAUCAGAGGACUACUAAAGUAGGGGAAACACACUUAAGUUUGUUAUCCAGAGUUUCUUCAGAAGCUAAACAUCAGUGGCAUCACAAGUGGGCUUCCUCAUUUAAUCCAAGAGAUCUAUCAAGUUGCAAAGAUAACAACAGUGAACAUGAAAUAUCUGAAAGCAAAUGACCCGAGUAUCCUCUACUACUUUGGUUUAGGUGCUAUUUAUCUUGCUCUGUGUUGAAAUAUUUUUAUCUUCCGUGGAUGCAAAGCAUCCAGGAUGUGAUAAAUCAUUCACUGGAUAAUGGCAUUUAUAUGUGGUUCCAGUCUUUUCACGGUGCAGGUGAACAUGAGAAUUCUAUCAAAGAUAAGUGCCCUUUCAAGAUUGACAUUGUUCUUUCUUCAGUGUAGGUGCAUGAUAUUACAUGAUUAAACAUGCCAAUUUUUUAAAUUGAUUUAGUUGUCUAUAUUAUGCUCUAUGUGCUAUUACCAACAAAAAAGUACACCAUAAUAUAAGAUGUUAUUACAUGGACGGAGGGAGAUUUUUAGCCUGCAAAGCAACAAAUCUAUUCCCAGUGUGGCAAUAAUGUGUUUGCACCAGUUAAGGAAGAAUUUGUUUUUCACACUGUAAGAAACACUUCAUGUUUCUUCCCCAUCAUUUAAGUGUGCCAUUCUUCUUUGUUCAUGUUGCUAAUAGGAUAUAUUUCAUUAUGAUGAUGUUUCAUACUGCUCCUAUGGAGUCGCUCUUUGGACUGUUGGACGCGUAUAUCCAAUGAAACUACUUUUCCAGUUGUUGGCUGGAGCUAUCACUAUGACUGAAAAUUUCUUUUCAGUCAAGAAACCAACGACAUGUCAACACUUAUCAGCGGUUUGCAAUCUUUGUUAGACUAUGCCUAAGCCAAUGGUUAGACAAUGUUAGGCAAUGUACAAAACAUGGACAUGAUUUAUGUAGAUUGGGCAGUCCCUUCAAACUGCAUUUUUCAAUCUUGAGUGGACGAUUAUAUGUUUUCUUAUAGAAAAUUGACUAUAUGUUUGAUGAAUUGACUGAUUAUUGCCCUGUCAGAUUAAACUAGGUCUUAAUUUGAAGGUACAAUUUAGGCUGCUGGUGCUGGUUUGUUUAUUGUACUAAUUAUGCUCUUUAGACAGAGACAUGUUGUCUUCAUCAUUCCUCAGUCAUUAUGAGCUGGGCAUAGAUCGGUGACCCGGUUAAUCCUGAUUUAUUGCAACAUAUGUUUUCUCCACACAGGUCUAAACAAUGCAACCUCUUUUUAGGUUGUGGAAAUAUGAUUCGGAUGGAGGUUGAUGGACUAGAGCAAUUAAGGGAUGUGAUAUUUUCUUCUCCCGUUGCAACGCACGGGCAUAUGUCCUAUUAUAUAUAUAUAUAUAUAUAUAUAUAUAUAUAUAUAUAUAUAAUAAUAAUAAUAAUAAUAAUAAAGCACGUAGGGUUUCUGUCGUACGUCGUCAGCAUUUUUACAGAAAUCCCCCUGCUAUUUUGGCUAUUCAACCCACAGUACUAUUAUAAUAUAAGUCAACCCGAAGAGAUACUGACAAGAGAGAAAAAGAAAUAACCCACCCACCCACCCGCACGUCCCUGCCUCCCAAUUCCGUAAAAAAACAAUCCCAUCUCAACGUCCUGCCGCCGGUCACAACACGCGCCGCCGGCCCACCCCCACGCCGAUACGCGCCGCCGGUGCAUCAGUUGGACGACGUGCCUGUCCUCCUUGCGAGCUGCGAGCCAAAAAGAAGCAGCGAGGUUCACUCAAAAGAAAAGCANNN
rnacentral:lncRNA from 1 species